AUAUAUAUACAGCAUCAAACUUUAAUGCCAUUAAUGUAUAUUAACUAAUCAUCUGUUAAACAUUAAGCAUAGCUGAAUAAUGAAAUUAUGACCGUCAUGGAAUUUAUUAUAAAGUGUUAGGCUACCUAUAGUUGUGCUGUAAAGAGUGUUUAAUAUAGAGUGGGAACAGAUAAGAAAUGCUACAUUUCCAGGAAAAUCCGUCUCUACUUUGAAAUAUAAAAUUCAACUAAACUGUUAGUCAAAGUUUUUAUUGGUUUAUAAUUACAGCAUGUGAUAAAAUGCCCAACCCAGUCAUCAUCUACUCACCCUCAUGUCAUCCAAACCCCUAUGAUUUUCUUUCUGAAGAUCUGAACAUGUUUUCCACGCAAUUCAUUAAUGAACAGGGAAGCUUCGAGCGUCCAAGAGGAUGCAACAUUACAAUAAAGUGUCAUUAAUGUUGUCAACAAGACUUGCACUAUAUUAUAUAUCUUCUGAAGACGUUUGACAACUUUGUGUGAGAGGUAGAAGGAAAUGCAGGUCGUUGUUAUUCAUUAAUAAGCCUAUUCUUCCCUCCAGUGAUCCAUUAACCACUGCGAACCGACCAAUGAGUCAGUGAGCUGAACUCGAGAAUCGGUUCGUUUCGUGAAUGAAUCAUUUUAAACUCGCCGUGUUAACCGAAUCAACAGAAUCGAUUCUUUUAGUGAAUAACAAUUAACGUUUGUGUCUUCACACAAAGCUUCCCGUUCGUUAUAACUGCAAAACAGUCUUUCACGGAACAAAUCGAAGAAGAUCUGAAUAGCAGGCUCUAAGAUGAAAAACCUAACUGAGAAGACCUGAAAGAUCAAGCUCUGAGCAAUAACAUCUUCCUCACUGGCUGUGUUUUUACUGCUCUCGAUCGUUCACCAGCAGAUUGAAGAUACACUCACGCUGCUGCUGGCCUGAGGUUGAGAUCUGUAGCACUUCAUGAUGUUCUGAAAGGACUUAUCUUCUUUCGUCACCUGAACAAUGGAUAAAACAGUUAAAACAGCCAUUUUUGUUACUGUUUUGAAAGAAAAAAAGUUACGUGUGACAUACUGUAACAUGCAACGUUCAUUUCACACAACAUUGCAUUGCAAUUUUGACAAACAUUGACUCAACAAAAACUGCUACAAAAGACUAGAAUAUGACCAAUUACAUAUAUAUACACCUAUGAAUAAAUACCUAUAAAUAACUGGUGUUUGAUAAAUAAUG